GGCUCGGUGGUCUAGGGGUAUGAUUCUUCAGCUUCGGGUGCGAGGUCCCGGGUUCAAAUCCCCGGCCGAGCCC